CAGCCGCCGCGGGAAUACGUAGGUGGCAAGCGUUGUCCGGAAUUAUUGGGCGUAAAGGGCUCGCAGGCGGUUUCUUAAGUCUGAUGUGAAAGCCCCCGGCUCAACCGGGGAGGGUCAUUGGAAACUGGGAAACUUGAGUGCAAAAGAGGAGAGUGGAAUUCCACGUGUAGCGGUGAAAUGCGUAGAGAUGUGGAGGAACACCAGUGGCGAAGGCGACUCUCUGGUCUGUAACUGACGCUGAGGAGCGAAAGCGUGGGGAGCGAACAGGAUUAGAUACCCCCGUAGUCCCUGUCUCUUAUAC
rnacentral:rRNA from 1 species